GACGAACGCUGGCGGCGUGCUUAACACAUGCAAGUCGAACGGAAAGGCCUUUUCGGAGGUACUCGAGUGGCGAACGGGUGAGUAACACGUGGGUGAUCUGCCCUGCACUCUGGGAUAAGCCUGGGAAGCUGGGUCUAAUACCGGAUAGGACCGCACUUUAGUGUGUGUGGUGGAAAGUUUUUUCGGUGUAGGAUGAGCCCGCGGCCUAUCAGCUUGUUGGUGGGGUAAUGGCCUACCAAGGCGGCGACGGGUAGCCGGACUGAGAGGUUGGUCGGCCACAUUGGGACUGAGAUACGGCCCAGACUCCUACGGGAGGCAGCAGUGGGGAAUAUUGCACAAUGGGCGCAAGCCUGAUGCAGCGACGCCGCGUGGGGGAUGACGGCCUUCGGGUUGUAAACUCCUUUCGCCAGGGACGAAGCGUUUUGUGACGGUACCUGGAGAAGAAGCACCGGCUAACUACGCG
rnacentral:rRNA from 1 species